UUGAGGCUUGAUUAUACCCAACUGGAUGCUUAUUUGUGCUAGCAUUAAAAGACAUGGAGUCUGGACUGAAUUGAGAAACAGAUUGAACUUGUCUCUGUUUCUCAUCAUUAAGCACUAUGUUGUAAACACUGUCAAGGGAAGGAAAAGGUUGCAUCAUCAAUAGGUUGCUCCUAACCCCCAUGUAUGCUUCAUUUAGGCCCAUGAGAAAAUGGAAUACCUUAUUCUCAUCAUCUUCCUGAAUUAUCCCAUUCUUAGCAGCACAGACACAUCUCUGCCCAUGAUUUGUACACAUUGUACCUAACUCAUCCCACAGACCUUUGAGUUUGUUAAAAUAUGAGGCUACAUCUAAAGAGCCUUGAGAUGUGUGAGAAAGUU
rnacentral:lncRNA from 1 species